rnacentral:lncRNA from 1 species
CGUCUACGGAGUAGUUCUUAUUACAUUAGCCUCAAACUUUUUAACGUACAUUAUUUAUGGAACACACACCAUGAUUAUGUAGUGUUAACAUACAUCAACAAACACAUUCAUCACCGUGGUAUAUACACUCUCGAGGGUUUCGUUUGGAACCUAGUAGUAGGGCCCAGGCGUGGUCUUCUGGAAGGGACAAAUGCUAACUUGCGGGAUGUUGCAAACUCUAGGUAAGUGCGUAGCGGUCUCGUAGAUACGGCUCACUACUUGCUGCAUUUGCUGUCCCUGCUGUCCCUGCAUUUGUCCCUGUUGUCGAACCUGCUGUUUAACGGCUUUGGAUGCUCCUUUCAAGGUUGGGCAAACGCAAAGUGGCUCUUCCUGGUGGAGCUCGUUGCAGCACUGCUGGAGUAGUGGCGGCCUCUGUUGUGGGCCCUGGGGGUUCUCCAUGUCAUCUUCAAAAUCAAACUCACCAUCGAGGGUCCAGCUUGGACCACUACCGGACUGCAUUGCCUGCUUGUGGAGCCAUUGUUGGCAAGCUUUCAGGUGUUGUGCUUGCUGAAACUCCUUCCUACAUUUUGGAAUCCUAAAUGGGCCGGCUGGGUUUGUGGCAUCUUCAUCGACUUCCACAACCGUCCUGUAGACGGAGGCAUUGGUGAGAAGGAAGAAAAAGGCGAGAGUUGCCGAGACGAGGAAGAGCUUGUUCGCCAUUUGUGUAUGUUUUUAACUUUGUUUGUUAUGAUGAGUUUUGGUUUGAGUAAAGAGUGAAGCUGUUAAGUUAAUUUAUAGGUGAGAAUGGAGAUUUGCAUGGCGAUCACGUGUAAUAAUGCAUGCAUUUGUGUGUGCUGUGAGAGAGAAGCUCUUAGGUGUUUGAAGUGAGUGACAAAUGACGAACAAAAACAGUCGUCCGCAUCUGCAUGCUAUGUGUGAUGUGUAGCUCAUGUCCUGGCGUAACAUCUUAUGAACGAUAUUUUUCAAAAAGAAGCUAACUUCAUAAAAUAAAAAACCUUCAGUAAGUGGGAUGACAGUCUAUAUACUUUGGAGGUAGUGCGGGGGCGGUUGAAAAUAUAUAUUGGGAGCUUAAUGAGAAUUCAGUAAUAGUAUAGAAGAUCUAUUGUAUGGUGAAAAUUAAAUGUGUCUCGUAGACUCGUACAAUAUGUAAUAAAUGCAGUAGAGCCUCUAGUGUAUGGACGAAUGUAUGGGUGCAAAUGCAAAUUAUGCAAUUGUACCCACUAUUUUUUCUAAAAAGAAAUAUUUUUUUUUUGGUAAAAUGUUAAAUUGAAAAGAUAUAUUUUCUAAAACAUUGUUAAAAUCUAACAAAAAUAGGCAAAAUUAACCUAGCAACCAGUAUUUUGUUGGUUUGCCCCCUCUGCUUUCACCAUUUUUUUGUUCUUCUUCUUACAUUUACUUCAAUGAAUGUUCAAAUUUAUUUGAUUUAAAACAUUUACUUCUAUGCUUUCUGCCAUUACGUUCACGCCAAAUAGUGUGUACACCACCAGAGCCGAGCCUGCGGACAGUUUUAUUAAAUUUUAUUUUUUUUGAACAAAGUUCGAUAGUUUUGUUUUGUGAUCGCGUCUUCAACGUUUUAUUAAACUUUUGAAUGAAGCCUUCAUGCUUUAUAGGAGCUCCACUAAAAAAUAAUAUAUAUGUAUAUGUAUUUUUAUUUUUGGUAUAAUAACAUAUAAAUAUUAGCUGUGAAAUAAAUACUGAAUGAAAUUUUGAGUUGACAAAAAUGAUAAAAUAUAUUAUUUAUAAACUUUAUAAAAAUAUUAAUUAUCAGGGCCCCGAAAAUCUCAAAAUCGGCUGGACACCACUGCUUGAAACAUGUAUCACAAAAUGAAGAGAAUGGUUAUGUCCCAACCAUCAUCCACCAAGAGUUGAACAAUAUAUAGUAUUAGGUAUUUAGCAUUAUUAAAGAUAUAGAUGAUCAAUGAUAAAGAAAUUUACUACCUUUGCUAUCAAAGUACUGUUUAUAAGUAAAGGCAACAUCAGUAUAUUUGCAGGAAUUUAGUGGAUACAUGAGAUUGACAGAUGCAUGGUGAUCUAAAAGAGUUUGUUAGUAUUUUUGUUUUUUUAGAAAGGAAGAGUUUCCAAGUACUUUUGCAAAAAAUAUAAAAUAAAAGAGUUUAGAAGUAUUUGACUAUACCAGAUUUCAGUCAUUGAUUGAUCCCAGUGGAUGAUUUUUUAUUAUUGGCCCCGAAUGCUUAUAUUAACACUAGUUGUUUGUCCGCGCGAACGAUGAUAUUUAUUUUAUUGAUGGUGUUAAAUCUUUUAUUAAUAUAGCUUAAAAUAUUAGAUGGUUAACUAAUGUGAUAUCUUUAAAAAAUUUGUUUAUAAGUUUCUUGGUAAAAUGUUUUGGGGUUGAUCAACAUGUUUUUUUCCCUUGUGACCAUCAUGUUUGUUUCGUUUUUUGAUAUACAAUAAUUUUAGAGUAGCUGUUUUUCCAUCCCAUAAUUUCAACCACACAAAUGUGGAUCUGCUUCAUUUUUGUUAUAAAUUUUUUUCUAUUUUAAACUUGUUCAAGUGUAAGGUUAUGUCCACCUCAUUUUUUUUGUCGAUGAAAGGAACAUAUCUGUUCAACUGUGAUGACUUCGGUAGCGUAGGAGGUAUAGUGGAAGUUUUUGUGCACGUUAAUGCCGUGGGUGAAGGUGCUGAGUUCUUUUUGGCUCUGCUGCACACUCUGUUUUAUUGUAUGUGGCUCUGUUCAAAUAUAUGAAAUGAUCCAGUUUGGGGAGGGGGGAAGGUUAUGUCCACCUCCUUCACUCUGGUGUAUUUGAUAAACAGCGACAUAACCACCAAGUUCCCAUAAUGCCAUAACAGCCUCUGUACCCAGUUAAACCUCUAAUCACCUCCAAAGCCAUGGAACUAAUCGAAAUAGGAAGCUUUAACUUAUUUUACAGUAAAGCUUAGAAGAGUCAAACCAUCAAAAUCCAAAAAUAAUUACGAAAUCAGCAGAAGAAAAACUAACAUGCUAAAGUCUUUUGAGUAUCGUUGGCAAAUUUGGGAGGUAAAAUCUACACAAUGCAAGUUUAAGGCCUUUUUGUUUUUCAAUCUUCAUCUGAGAUUCUGAGCCCGACUCUUUGGAACUCGACCCAUCUUGUUUACUAUCUUUGAACCUUUUUUUGGGUCGAAUGAUCCUUUCCUCUUAUCUUCUUCGUCCUCACUAUAUUUGCUUUCAUAAUUCACUUCAUUCUCAUCUUCUUGUGAAGCCUCACCCUCAAAAUCAUUGGUUCUUUUCAAAACCUCGACUUUCAGUGAUGUCUUUCGAUCACAACUGAUCCAAGCAUCUCCUAGGUAGAACUCAUAAGCAAAUCAAAUAAUAAGUAUCUUCUGCACGUUUUAGGCAUUUCUUUAUUACCAAUCUUGAUCGGCUUUUAACCUUCUCUAACUUCAUUGUUCUUUGCCUCGACGCCAUAAUAUUUCCGCAAAACAAUCAUUAUAUCAAGAACCAAUAAAGGUUUAUUGAUCUCCUCAGAUUUGCAGUAGCCACUUACCAUAAAAUUAGAAGAUGUGGCAUCAUGAACAACACCAGAAACUUGAGGAAACCAAAUCUUGUUGACCUGACCUGUCCGGAAAACAAUAAACUGUGAAAGAACAUUUCCUAAAAUUUUAAAGGAAAAGUCUUGCCACCAUUGAAAUACCGCCAACCCAUUAAACUGAUAUAGCAUCUAUAAGAGCACCUGUAACGGGGGUACAUGCAGGGUCCUUAGCGUUUAAUCAUAGGUUAGGAGGAUUAUAAUAAUAGUUGUUUGGUUAAUAGGAGUAAGGAUUGAUACGUUAAUAAGGAUUUUUAGGACUUGAUCCUUAGGGUACGUGGCGUGUUUUGAAUGGAUGGAAGGGUUUACGGUUUGGUUACGCGUAAAACAUUGGUUAUACUCGACCGAAGCAGAAAAAAAAAUAGUCCCGACGAAGAAAGGCGAUUGCUCUCGACGAAGCGAAGGCGAAUCCCGCUACGAAAGACGGCGAUUCCCGCGGCGAAAGACGGCGAUUUGUCUCCGUUGGCUGAACAAGGUAAAUCGCACCCUUCUGAUGUAGAUUAAUCGAUAUAGAUUAGUUUGCAUGUUGAAUCGAUCUCGUUUGAAAUUAGGGUUCGAACAUAAUUUGGGGGUUUGUUGCGUUUGUACUUAACGGUUUGAAAACGAUACUGCUUUCAUCGAUUUCGGGUUCUUCUCGUUUGAAAUUAGGGUUUCAAUUCAGAUUUGGGGCUUUUUGCGUUUGUACUAAUCGGUUUGAAAACGAUUUGCGUUUGUACUAAUCGGUUUGAAAACGAUACUGCUAGCAUCGAUUUGGGGUUCUUCUGGUUUGAAAUUAGGGCUUCAAAAGGAUUUGGGGCUUUUUGAGUUUGUAUUAAUUGGUUCGAAAAAUAUCCUUAGCGUUUCUUUCUUGCACAGUUUUGCUAGCUACAACUCAACUAUCUGUUUGAGUGUAUUGAGUUUAUGUGUUUGUUGUUAAGGAUUACAAGUAGAAGUUCAGUUUUCUGUGAGACAUAAAAAAAAGCUUCCUAAUUUGUUCUCUCGGAUGAGCUGCAAGUUUAUGAUCAUGUGUGUGUGUGUGUUGUUAGGAUUUGUUUAGCUCUGUUCUUAAUUUUUUUUUUCAUUCUCUCUUAUGUUUAGCUCUGUUCUUAAUUUUUUUUUUCUUGCAGGUUAACGAAUAUGGGACAAGAUUAUUCAUACAGCCAGCCUUUCUCAUCAUCAGACUCGAUGGACAUUACCUCCCUUCUUCAAGCAGAAGCUUAGUUGUAUGCGGAUGAAGGUCAGAGUAGCUACAAUAAUCCAGAGCCGGUUCAGUACCCACCUCAACCAGAGGCAGAUGAUGGAAUCCCGAGGCUAUGCUACUGUGGUGGUGAGCCUGUUGUUGCAACAUCCUCCACUCAUAAAGAUCCCGGCAGGAGGUACUUCACAUGCGAGAAUGUGGAUGAUGGAGACUGCCACAUCUGGAAAUGGUGGGAUGUUGCGGUCACAGAGGAGAUGAGCGAGUUGCAGAGACAACUUAGGCUGCUUAAGGAUCAAGGCAAUGCGAGUGAGCAUAAGCUUAUGCUGCUAGAGAAGAGUGUGUUUGAGUUAUCUAACCAGAAAUCAGGAGUUACGCUAAUGAGAGUGAGCAGAAGCUGGUGCUGUCUAUUAGUUUUAAUAGGUUCCGUGUUCUUGUUACUGUGUGGUGAGUAUAUCUCCUUGUGCUUUUCGUAGUUCAUUUUUUAAUAUUCUGCGUGGUGAGUUCGUUGACUAUUUUUUCUCUUUCUUUUCAGGAUUAGCUUCAAACGAGAGUGUCUCAAAGAACCAAUGUCAUUACUAACAAGGUACGCCCACUUGAAUAAAAGCAAUUAGUCAUUUAAUGAAGGUGAAUUGAUUUCUACCGUCGUAACUCCUCGGAUUUGAUCGGUUAUAAAUGUUAGCGUUUAGAAAUAGUGAACUGAAGACUCUAGCUUGCUAGGAUUGUACUAACUAGUCGGAUUUGAUUGGUGAUAAAUGCUAGUUCUUUGCUUCCUAUCUUCCUAACUGCUCAGAUUUUAAUUGCUUUAAUUGAAAAAAAAAAUGUAAAUGGCUUACUUAAGACUCUGUGUUGCUAAUAGAGCGACACAACCAUUCUCUAACCAUGGAUAACACCACUGGUUUUGUUAACCUACUUUAUAGUCAAUCUCCAUUUGAAAUUGAUUCAACACAACCUGCUGCCGAGUCCGGUUCGAAGGAGAGGAGGAAAUGGUCACUGAAAGCGGAUCAAAUCCUCAUUGGGGCUUGGCUUAACACAAGUAAAGAUUAUGUGGUCAGCAAUGAGCAAAAAGCUAGUGCUUUUUGGAAGAGGAUUGUUCAAUACUACAACGCGAGCCCUUAUCUGGCUGGGACUAUACCUAGAGAGCUUGGGCAGUGCAAGCAGAGGUGGGCUAGGAUAAAUGAGCAAGUCUGCAAGUUUGUUGGGAGCUAUGACGCGGCUCUUAGGGCACAGAGAAGUGGUCAAAACGAUGAUGAUGUGAUGAGAGCUGCCCAAGAGUUCUUCUUCAACGAUCACGGAGUCAAGUUCAGCAUGGAACAUGCCUGGAGGGAGCUGAGGCAUGACCAGAAAUGGUGCUCCACCUAUGUGACUAAGGACGGUGGGAGUCAAAAGCGCAAACCAGUCCAGGCGGAGGUUGAUAGACAAGCGGAAGUGGGAGAACCAGAGGAAAGACCAGUCGGGGUCAAGGCAGCUAAAGGUGUUACCAAGAAGAAGAAGAGUGCUAGAGAAGAAGAAUUGUCACAGUUACAGGGCGUGUUGGAAGUUAAAGAAAAACUCGCUAGGCAUAAGUUGCUUGAUCGUUUACUCGGGAAAAAAGAGCCUCUAUCUGAGAUGGAGACAUCUCUUAAGCUCAAACUAAUGUCUGAGAUGCUAUAAACUGAUGUUAACCGUAUGUUAAGUUGUGACUGUUGUUUUGUGUACUUGUUUACUAUUAAACUUCGCUCACUCUUGUCUUUUGUGUUGUUGCAGGGUCAUGUGAACGAAGUCACGGGUGCAUUUGGUGUUGUGAAAGUCUUUUGUUGUUUAGCUCAAGUGAAUCAAGUCACGAGAUUCUAUCUAUGUACUAUAAGUAGUUGUCAUUUGCACGUCUUUAGCUAUGUAUCUCUUUCGCUUUGCUUCCUCUUCAUCAGAACUUGUAUCUUCUUGUUUCAGUACAACAAAUUGCUUCUCUUGUAAUAUUUUCGUUUUAGUACAACAAGUUGCUUCUCUUGCUUGGAUUUCUAUCCAACGAUCUCAAGUUCUGAUUCUAUUUAACUACAACUACAUUAUCUAUAGGUAACACUGGUUCUCCUCUUUUAUAUACCGAGAUUGUGUAGUAUCUAAAUCAUUUGUAGUAUAUUCUUCAGUAACUUGUGUAGUAUAUACUUACUAAACUAGAGAAUUAUAUAAUUCAUUUGAGAAACUUUGAAGUUAAUCUGAUCACUAAACUUGUCAAGUAUAUUUGAGAAAUUUUAGUUCCAAAGUUAAUCUGAUCUCAAGUUUUGUUAAAUCAUUUGUAGUAUAUUUUUUUUGUAACAAAACUUUGGAACUAAAAUAUAGAACUAAAAACGUAUUUUUUUUUUGGAACAAAACUUUGGAAUUAAAAUAUACAACUAAAAACCUAUUUUUAAAGGAAGGAUCCCUAAAAAAUGUCAUCCUCUUCAUCCGAUGAAGUCGAAGAAAGACUGGAUGAAUUAUUCGAUGAAAUCGUCGAAGAUACAUACAACGACAUUAUGGAGGGCCAAACCUAUAAGCAAAGGAAACGUGCUUACAUAGAACGAAACCGUGAAGCCGGACACAACCGUUUAUGGAAUGACUAUUUCAGCGAAGAAGCGACAUUCUCGACACAUUUAUUCAGACGUCGUUUCCGCAUGAGUAAGGAAUUAUUCAUGCGUAUUGUCCAUGCCCUCUCAGAGAACGUUCCUUUCUUUCGACAAAGAAGAGAAGCAACCGGGAGGUUGGGCCUGUCUCCACUACAAAAAUGUAUGGCAGCUGUUCGUCUGCUUGCUUAUGGUUCUGGGGCUGACACGGUAGACGAAUAUCUUCGACUUGGAGAAAGCACGGCACUUUCGUGUCUACACCAUUUCACUGAAGGAAUAAUACUGUUAUUUGGAGAUGAGUAUCUACGAAGACCCACACCAGAGGAUCUUCAACGACUCCUCGAUAUUGGAGAGAAGCGCGGGUUUCCCGGGAUGGUAGGAAGCAUUGACUGUAUGCAUUAGGAGUGGAAGAAUUGCCCAACCGCUUGGAAAGGGCAGUACGCACGUGGAUCAGGAAACCCGACAAUUGUCUUAGAGGCUGUGGCUUCACAAAAUCUUUGGAUAUGGCACACCUUUUUUGGUCCUCCAGGUAUCUUAAACGAUAUUAAUGUCCUCGAUCGGUCUCCUAUUUUUGAUGACAUUUUUCAAGGCCGAGCUCCCAGGUUAGAGUAUGUGGUCAACGGACACAUGUAUAAGUUGACUUACUACCUCACAGACGGUAUAUAUCCCAAAUAGUCAACAUUUAUCCAAUCUAUCUCGCACCCUCAAGGUCCUAAAGCAAAGUUAUUUGCUAGAAUUCAAGAAACAACCCGAAAAGAUGUGAAACGGGCGUUUGGAGUAUUACAAGUUCGAUUUGCGAUUGUCAAAAUCCGGCUCUUUCAAUGGACAAAGAAAAGAUAGGGAAGAUUAUGAGAGCAUGUAUCAUACUACACAAUAUGAUUGUCGAAAAUAAACGAGAUGGAUACAUUCAAUUCGAUAUAUCUGAAUUUCAAGAGGGAGACGUCACUAGAAGUUCACGGUGGAUACCGACAGGCCUACAACUAUUGCUAAUAUGCUCGGCAUUCGGGAUGAUGGAUAAGCGUUUACAUCAACGUUUGAAAAAUGAUUUAAUUGAAAAUAUUUAGAACCAAUUUGUUGAUUGUUGGUUAAUAAAUAUUGUAUCUUUAUCUUUAAUAAUGCAAUAAAUAAAAAUUUUAAUUUCACUUUUAUAAAAAAGUUUAUUAUUUUUAUAUUCCUAAGAACUCCAAAUUGGAGAACAUCAUUGGACUAACAAUUCUGAUUAUGAUCCUUAACUAUUCAAAAAAAAGAAAAUAGUUAAUUAAUCCUAAGGACUCCAUUUGCUGGUACACUAUUGCGGGUGCUCUAAACAAUCCAUCAUCGGCAUUUCCUAGAAAUCAGUUCUGAUCUGAAUCUAUAAGAAAUUACAUUGUAAUAAAGGCUAACUUCCUCUCCAAGUGAUGUUUUACCUUUCAUACGGUUGUGUUGCAGUGGAUAUUAAGUUGGGAAGAAAGUAAGUGUGAGGCCAAAGUGGUUUGUUCCGGCUUGCAAUGUUUGAACUUGUUCACCCUCUUCAAGUCAAUCCUUCCUAAGAUUUGCUGUUAAUUUUGACCCGGCUGUUGCUCCGCGGCGAUAUGGAAACAUCCCUUAUAUAUUAAUUGAGGAACAUUUGAAAAGAUGUAACCUCAAUUUUGUAUUAAUUAAAAGAGGCUCCAAUGCAUAGGUGGCACUCAAUUAGGUAGUCAAUUACAUUCAAUUGAAAAAUAAGUAGGUCCACAUUCGAUUUUUAUAUGUUGUUAGAUACAUAAAUUGGUCAAACUAUAUGAUAUAAUGAUAUGAUAUGAUAUUUUCUUUCCUUAAAUAAAACCUACGGAAUUACCAUAAAUGACUAAUAUAUAUAUGACAAUUAAUGAGUUUAAUAAUAAAGAUUUGAUAACAAUGUAUAUCUCCUCCAUCAUUUUUUGUUUAAUUUUAUAUUAUUAAAAUAAAUUAAACAAUCAAAUUAGCUAUAAAAAUAAAAUUUAGAUUUUUUCGUAUAUGUUAUAUUUUGAAUUUUUAAAAACGACAAUAAAUGACUAAAACUAUUAAAAUUAUUAUGUUAAAAAUUAAUGAUCAAUUGUUUUCUAUUGUGACUGGCACGACAACACUCCAGAUCGAGGUGUGAGAACAGAUGCAUUUGGUGUUACAUCAGUAAAUUCAAGACGGAAGCUGCAAUAUUAUGAUCCUUUCAUUCUUGCUUCUCAGGCCGAUCAGGUUUGUUAUAUCAAGUACCCCCGGGUAAGGAACAGAGAUGAUCCAUGGGUUACUGUUACAAGACUCAACCCGAGAGGCCGAGUUCAGGGAAGUUCUGAGCUGGAAGACCCACUACAACCAAGCACAUCCGGCAACUUAAGUGCAGCAGAAGAUUUAGCUGGAGUUGGCCUUGUAGUCGAUUUAACCGACUUUGGAGAGGAAGCCGUCGUUCACGUAGAGGAUGAACCAGUGAUUGGAGAGUUUCACCAAGAUCCAGAUUCAGAUUCAUCUGGUGAUGAUGACUCGGAAACAGACUACCAUUGAAUAUAGAUAUGUGUUUGUUAAACCAUUAUAAAAUAUAAAUUGAUAGAUAUAUUAUAAUUUAUUUUUAAUUUAUUUGUGGCUUUAAACAAAUUUGAAAUGAUUUAAAAAAACAGGUACUAAAAAACAUGUGCAUAUUUGCUUGGAUCAAAAUUUGGCAGCCUUUAUAAUAAAUAUUUUAAGGCAUUUGACAUACGGAAACUCUUUUCAUCUGCUAUCUCUAAUUCAAUAUUUUUUUUAAAUACUGACUGCAUUACUUUCAUCGCAUGAACAACAGCCAGUGUGUUAUCCAACACUUUUAAGCUUUUACGAAAACAUCAUUUUGGAAGCUACAAAUGCUAAUAUUUUGAGACUCUUGACUCUGUUUUAUUUUAAAUUUUGUCAACAGACGACUCUGUCUUAUCUUAGAGUUUUACAUUUCCCGUUCUGAUGAAAACCAUCAUAUUAAAACUUACACAUAAGUCAAAUUAGUGGUUUCAAAUACCGAGUCCGUAAUAUGUAUUUACUGUGUUCGAACGGUUUAAUAUAUCCAUGGAAUAUAUCGUACUAUCUUAUUCACACAACAUUUAUAUUUCGAAUAAGUCAACACAACUGGUGUGUGACAUAACCGCAUAAAAUAAAAUACAUACACCAUAAAUUAUUCUGUCAUAAUUAAUAACUAGAGAUUGACCCGCACGCCCGUGCGGGUGUUAAUUUUUACUUUCUUAUAAAUCGAUAUUUUAUUUUUAUGAUUAGUAUUAUAUAUUUUAUAUGUGUCAUAAUAUAAUUAAUUGCAUAAGUACUUUUAAAUUUCUAUACAUCAUAAUCGAACCUGAAUCAAAUAGAGUAAUAUGAUUACUUUUGGUUAUUUGGUUAUUUUUAGUUUAAUUUGAAUUCAGCAUACCCGAAUUGAAUCGGUUAAUAUUCUUACUUUUCAUAUAAAUAUCCGUACCGGCGUCAAAUACAUUAGUUUUUAGAUAUUUGUAGGUUUGUAUAUAUCAAGACUGAAUUCAUCUGGACCCGAUUCAAAAUACACAUGAAAAUUUUUUAAUACUGAAAUGAAGUCUAGUUUCAAAACUCAAAAAGCAUGAUAACCCAAAGAAAUAACUCGUAACUGAAUAGUUAUCCGAAUGUCCAUGUCUAACCGAUACAUAAGUAAAUUAAAAAAAACAUUUGUUAACCAUUUUGAAUUCUUAUCACAAAUAGAGUGGUUUCAUUCAAAUAUGUCGAAUUAUUAUAGUUAAUAUGUAAAUAAUCCUGGAAAAAUAUUAUAGUAAAUAUAAUUAAUGAGAUAGUUAAAAGUGAGAAAAUGAAUAUAAAAGAUAAAAUAAAAAAAUUGAAAACAAAUAAGUUUUGUUUUUCUUGUCACUAUUAUAUAUCAUAUAUAUGUCAUCAUAUAAUUAAUCAUAUUUUAUAUGUACCAUAAUAUAAGUAAUCAUAUAACUAAUAGUAUUUUAUAUGUACCAUCAUAUAAAUAAUCACAUAUAUUAUAUUUAUAAACCUAAUAUGAAAUAUAAAAACCAUAAUUUAAGUUGGUGUUUUAAUUAAGUUUUGUAUUGUAUUUUUCUUAUAUAUAGUAAAAAUAUUUUUUUAAAUGGUUAUUGGAAAAUAUUUUAGUAAAUUGUUUUUUAAAUAUAUAUAUAUAUAUAUAUUUUUGAAUCAAUUUUUUAUAUAAAUUAGUUUUAAAUUAUUAUUUUGAUUUGAAUUUUGUAUAGUAAUAAUUAAAAGUGAGAAAAAUGAAUGUAAAAGAUAAAAUAAAAAUUGAAAACAAAUAAUUUUUUUUUUGUACUUCUGUAAUAAAUUAUAUUAACUUAUUUAGUAAAUAUAAUAGAUGAAGGGUUAGAAUUGAUUAACAAUAGAAUAAAAAUCUUUUAAAAAAUCAAUUAAGAUAAGUAAGUAUUAUUUUGUACUGCUAUCCAUGUUUCCAAACAAUUCUCAUUUAUACUACUAUCCAAGUUUCCAAACAACUCUCAAAUGUACUUCAGUUUUAAUAAUAUAGAUGAAGCCAAACUAUUGUUUCAUUCUCCAAAAUAUAAUAAAAAUAAUAACUUAAUCCCGCGCAAGGCGCGGGUCUUAUCCUAGUUAUAAGUUAUAACAUCAGAUCUUUAAAAACUGGUCAAAGAAGAAAGUUUUGAAAAAACCUAAUAAGCGAAUCAUUCCAAGAAUUGAUAUUUGUUUCUUUUUGAAGAACCUGCAUCAAAUUUCAUAAAAUAGUCAGCGUAAGAUGAAAGCAAAACCUGAAAACGAAUCACCGAUCUACAGAGACUUUAGGUACUGCCGCUUCCAAUCAAAAUAAGUGGUAUUAGGGGUUGAGACUGGGCCGACAAAAUCACUAUGUGGAGCCUUCUUAGAUCUGAAGCAAAGCAAAUGGUUACUGUAUAUCAAACCAAUAAAAGAAAGUUGAAGAUGAGAGAUGAGGAACUAAAGAGUUACUGGUGUCUUGAUGCAGCUACGAAGACCUGAUUUAUUAAUAUAUAUAGAUUUUGGCCUAUACUGUUCAGUAGACUACUAUCUCAUUGUGAAUAGAUUGAUUCGUUUGGAACAAAAAAAAAAUUCAAUUCUUUUGAUCUUUUUGGCGUAUCCUUCAGUAUCACUUUAUUAUCAAGUAGCAAGAGUAACAACAACAAAAAAACUUCUCUUUUAUUACGGUCUUCAGAGUACUUCUUAUUACAUUGGCCUCGAUCGAUUUUAAAGUACAUUAUUUAUGGAACACACACCAUCACUGCGUAGUGUUAACAUACAUCAACAACCACACUCUUCGCCGUGGUAUAUACACUCCCGAGGGUUUCGUUUGGAAUCUAGUAAGAGGGCCCAGGCAUGGUCUUCUGGAAAGGACAAAUGCUAACUUGCGGGAUGUUGCAAACUUUAGGUAAGUGCGUAGCAGUCUGGUAGAUACGGCUAAUUACUUGCUGCAGCUGCUGUCCCUGCUGUCCCUGUUGUCCUCCUUGUUGUCGAACCUGUUGUUUAACGGCUUUGGAUGCUCCUUUCAAGGUUGGGCAAACGCAGAGUGGCUCUUCCUGGUGAAGCUCGUUGCAGCACUGCUGGAGCAGCGGAGGCCUCUGCUGUGGGCCCUGGGGGUUCUCCAUGUCGUCAUCAAAAUCGAACUCACCGUCAAGGGUCCAGCUAGGACCACUACCGGACUGCAUUGCCUGCUUGUGGAGCCAUUGUUGGCAAGCUCUUAGGUGUUGUGCUUGCUGAAACUCCUUCCUACAUUUUGGAAUCCUAAAUGGGCCGGCUGGGUUUGUGGCAUCUUCAUCGACUUCCACAACCGUCCUGUAGACGGAGGCAUUGGUGAGAAGGAAGAAAAAGGCGAGAGUUGCCGAGACGAGGAAGAGCUUGUUCGCCAUUUGUGUAUGUUUUUAACUUUGUUUGUUAUGAUGAGUUUUGGUUUGAGUAAAGAGUGAAGCUGUUAAGUUAAUUUAUAGGUGAGAAUGGAGAUUUGCAUGGCGAUCACGUGUAAUAAUGCAUGCAUUUGUGUGUGUGCGCUGUGAGAGAUAAGCUCUUAUGUGUUCGAAGUGAGUGACAAGUCACUAACAAAAACAGUCAUCCGCAUCUGCAUGCUAUGUGUGAAGUGUAGCUCAUGUCCUGGCGUGACAUCUUAUGAACAAUAUUCUUAAAACAGAAUGUACAAACUUAACUUCAAAAAAUUUAAAAAAACCUUCAGUAUGUGGGGUAAGAGUCUAUAUAUACUUUGGAGGUGGUGCGGGGGCGGUUGAAAAUAUAUAUUGGGAGCUUAAUCAGAAUUCAGAAAUAGUAAAGAAGAUCUAUGUCAUGGUGGAAACUAAAUGUGUCUCGUAUAAUAUCUAACUAAGUAGUAACCCGCGUUUUGCGCGGGAUUAGAUAUCUAAUAAUAUGUUGAUUGUAUAUAUUAUGAUUAUGUACAACAUAUAAGGUGUAGCUCAAUCUCUAUAAUAUUAUUUGAGAAGUCACUUUCCUAUGUGUCGCUUCCACAUUAAUUAUCAGGAUGGUUGAUUAUACUGAUACCCUUAAUGAAUUUAAAAUAUUAAAUACUAUUAUUUAUUUAUUUUAUUUAGCUUGCUUUUAAAAAAUUUCCAAAAACAUAUACACAUAAUAAAAAGGAAUUUUUAAUAAAGUUAAAAAACGAAUUGAAAAACGAAAGAUCUCUAUAAUAUAACUAGAGUCGGCCCGCCCGAGUAUACUUUUCUUAUGAUUUAAGUUACUAUUUUUAUAUGAUUUUGUGCUUUGUGUUUUGGGUUUGCAUUUGCAAGAAAUGUGUAUAUAAUGAUUUAUGUCUUUAAAAAAGUUUUAGAUGAGAAAAGAUUAUACGUGGUAAGAUAUAUUUUACUUGUUUACAAUAAUUGUUUCUAUAUUAAAGAGUUAUGGCAUUAAUAUAUUGUGAGGGCUUCAAAUGGACGAUUUCAUAUUCGAUGUCAAAAUGGUUUAUUUUUUUCUAAUAUUAAUUCUUGUAUAGAUUAAGUAAAUAUUUUCUUAUUUAAUCUCAUACUCAUCGAUCUAAAUUGAACGGUUAUGGGAUAUUUUAAAUUUUUUGUGUUACAAUUGAAAUAAAAAGCAAAGAAAAACACAUUGGUUAAAUAUUUAAUUGGUUUAAAGAGAAUCAUGAACAGCGAUCCUUCGGAAAAAUAUUAAUUGUAUGUUUUCUAUCUCCUUUUAGAAUUUUUUUUGUCUUUUUAACUUUCUAUAUUGUUACCUCUGUAUACUUUAUAACAUUUAAUUUCUGCAAUUACUUCUUUAAAUACUUAACAUGCAGAUUUUAAUACUUUACUAUGACAUUUCCAUUUCUUUUUUUUUUUACUACAGUUAAUAGUUCUACAAAUAUAAUCACAGCUACAUCAUUCACAAUUUACAUAUUGUAAAAUAUGUAUAUAACUCUGUCAAAACAAUUUUCGUAUACUUAAAUAACUUCAUCCACUGCCACUUUCAAGCUCUCAGAGUUACAAAUCUGAAUUGAUCAUGGGUCUUAAGAUGGAGAGCAAAGCAAACCUGCAAAUAUCGCAGAAAGUUGUUAUGCCGCAGAGAACCACAUAAACCUGUAUACCCUAGUAAUAUAUUUAUAUAUAUGUUGAUAUAUAUAUAUAUAUAUAUAUAUAUAUGAUUUCAUAAAAAAAAGUUCACAAAAUAGUAAUAUUACAUUUAAAAAAUAUUUUUAAUUAACAUAAAAUAUACUUUUGAAAUAAGAAAAUACUUUAUUUAUAUCUAUAUUUUCUUAGAUGAAAAAUAUAAAUUUGUAUAUAAUGUGAUUUCAUUAAAAAUAUUUACACAGAUAAUCUUGAUAUUAGAAACAUAAAUAAUAUUUCUUUUAAAACAUAAUUUUAAACAAUACAAAAAAAAGUUCAAAGUAAUAGAAUUUUUUUUAUAUAUCCAUCUAUUUUCUUAGAUGACUAGGGGACUAGGUAAUAAUCCGCGCGAGCCUUGCGAGGAAUAUGAUUAUUAGUUUCGUUAUUUUUAAUAAAAAGACAUUAAAUCAGUUUAAUCUGGAUAUUAGUUCGGUAUUAAGUUUUUUUUCGUUUUUAAUCUUCUAAAAUAUAACUAUUAUUUUAAAUUAAUAUUCAUUUUAGUAUAUUCGGUUAAAAUAUUUGAAUUUUGGUUUUUUUUCCGGUAAAAACCAAAAUUAAUAUUAUUUAUUUAUUUUCAUGUUAUAAAUUUUAGAUAGUCGUCAUGUCGAACCAAUAGUUUCUAAACAGAUAAUAGUUUAAGAAAAAGAAAAGAAAAUUAUUAAGACAAAUCAUUUCACUACAAUUUGGUCGGUAGUGAAAGAAGCAUUAAGAAAUAAUAUUUCAACUUUUAAAAAAAUUAGAUACUUCAUUUGUGGUGAAUACUUAGUUACAAGGUAUUCACAUCAAGGUGCACAUAUAUGUGUAUGUAAAAAGUAUAUAAAAAUAGUUGACAAAUAUAUAAAUAUAUUGUUAAUUAAUAUUAAAUGAUAUUUUUUUUUCAUAAUAAUUAUGGGUGGGCGUUCGGAUACCCAUUCGGGCUCAGUUUGGAUCUAUUCGCGUUUCGGGUUUUCGGUUUAAAGAUUUCAGCCCCAUUCGGGUAUUUCUAAAUUUCGGUUCGGAUCCUUGCGGGUUCGGUUCGGAUUCGGAUAACCCAUUUAAAUUAUUUUUAAAAUUUUAAUAUUCAUUUUAUGCUUAAAAUUUCUCAAAAUCUAUAAAACAAAAUAAUAUAUUACAUAGAAUUUGUAUAAUAUAUGUCAAAAUAUCUAAAAUUUACAUAUAAAUUGGUUUGAUUUGAAUAUUUUGAUACAAAAUCAAUUGAUAUUUUAAGUAUUUUGGUGCUUUGAAUAUAUUUUAGCUAUUUUAGACAUUUACUUUUGACUAUUUAUGUAUAUUUUCAAGUUUUUUAGACAACUUAAAAAUAUCUUAUAUAUUUUAGAUGUGUUUAAUAUAUAUAUUAAAUCUAAAAAUAAGUAAUAUAUUUAGGUAUAUAAAUCUAUUUCGGUUAUGUUUGGGUACCCGAGAUAUUUCGGUUCGGGUCGGGUUCGGUUUCGAUUCUUUAGAUACCAAAAUAUUGAACCUGUUCGGAUAUUUAAUCAAUUUUGGUUCGGGUUCGGUACUACUUUUUCAGAUCGGGUUCGGUUCAGUUCUUCGGAUCCGGGUUUUUUGCCCAGCCCUAAUAAUAAUACAUGAAAGAUAAAAUUAAAAUUAAUUUAAAAUAAAAAAGGCUUUGACAUUAUUCAUUUUUUAUAUAUAAAGAAAAUAAAUUUGUAUCCGUAAACAGGGGUGGAUACAGAUCAAAUAUCUGGGUAUUUGGAAGCAUUCGUGUCGAUUCGAUCUUUAGCCACCUAGAUAUUUAGUGACUCGGAUAACCGAAAUGUUUUAGAAUUUUUAAAAAUAUAAUAAAUUUAAUUCAUAAAAAAUAUUGUAAAACUGAUAUAAAGUAUAAUAUAUAUAACGUAUAUAUAUAAUUUUUUACAUAUAUGUAUAUAUAGAUAUGCAUAUAACAUAUCGAACUAGAUAUAUGUUCCUAAAAAUAUUGGUAUUUGUGAUUUGCUUCUUUUUUGGAUAUUGUAUUUUAGUAUUUGAUUUGUUUCGUAGUGUUACAGAUAUCCAGAUUUUUUGGUUCAAAUCAAAACAUAUAACGAAUCAAAUCAAAAUUUAUGAAUAUUUUGCUCAAUUUUAUCCGUAAACAAUAAAAAUAAUAUAUAUAUAGUUUAGCUUUUGAUUCGUUAUCUAUUUUUAUUCAAACAAAAAAAUCCAGAGUUUUAUUGAAACUAUGUAUGUGAGUUUUAUAUUAAAAAAAUCGCAAAAUACAUAGUGUGAAUACAUUUAUGAAUAUAAUGUGAACGCGUUAACAUACUUAUUAUCAAAUCAUUGUAAGACUGUCACGUGUCUAGUGUGGAUACAUUUAUUGCAAUGCUUUUUUUUUAAUAUAUAAGGGAUAAAUGCACUAGUGCCUCUUGUGUAACUGUAACCAGGGACGAAUGUGAUGCAGCUCAAUCUCUGAUCGCACACAAUCAACACGAGACUGCCAAGGUUCACGACUCUCUUCCAUAUAGGAAUUUCCUUUUAUAUUAAAGUCGGUUUUAACUUUCCUUUUUAGGUGUUUUCGUUUUCCUUUUAGAAAGAGGAGUUAACUAAUCCUCCUAUAGGUUUAUGUUUUUCGUUUCUAGUAUUUAAAGGGUCCUAAUCAAGCUUGUAAGGUCACGAUUGGUUAAUAUUGAAUACAUCUUUAGAGUUUUUAAAAAGCUUUAACAAGCGCUGCGAAGAGUAUUCGCGUCCUAUUAUCCUUGUGUCCGAGUUACCUUCAAGAACAUGUUACCAAUCUAGUGAUCAAACCCUUGAUCCCUAGGUUUCCUAGCUUCCGCUCUCCAUCAGAAUAUAUAGGUGCACUUGUAGUCUUGUACCCACUAUUUUUUCUAAAAAGAAAUAUUUUCUAAAAAAAUGUUAAAAUCUAACAAAAAUGGGCAAAACUAACCUAGCAACCAGUAUUUUGUUGGUUUGCCUCCUCUGCUUUCACCAUUUUAUUUGUUCUUCUCUUUACAUUUACUUCAAUCAAUGUUAAAUUUAUUUGAUUUAAAAGAAUUUAUAAAAUGGAUGCAACACUAACUAGGCCUAGUAAAAUAAUCAUGUUGAAUUUUCGAAGGGCAUGCUGAUGUUGUUCUCUAUGCUUUCCUCCAUUACGUUUACGCCAAAUAGUGUACACCACUAGAGUCGGGCAUGUAGACAGUAUUAUAAAAAAAAUUGAAUGGAACACCCACUUUACAAGAGCCCUACUACAAAAAUUGUAUAUAUGUAUUUAUAUUUUUGAUAUAAUAACAUAGAUAUAUUAACUGUAAAAUAUUGAUAAAAAAUUUAGUUGAUAAAAAUAUAUUAAAUGAUCUAUACUAUUAUUUGCGAAGUAAUUUUUAGCAACGAAACUCUCACGUUGAAAGUUAGAGUUGUUAAUAUCUAUAUUACUCUUAAUGAAUUUUAUGUAUAUAUAUUAAUUAUAUAAUCAAAAACGAAUUUUGAUUAAUAAUGUCUUAUAUAUUAAAAGAGAAGUCACAACCUUGAUUCAUGUGUGAUUUUUUUAAAAAUGGACUAUCACUAGAAAGAAGUUAUGUUUCAUUUAUUUCUUAGUAACAUUUUGCUAUAAUUAAUUAAUCACAUAAUAAUAAUCGACUAUUAUAACAACUUUUUCCUAUAAAGCCGGCUCCGUUUAUGAAAACAUUUUAACCGAUAAAUCACCUAAUAUAUGUCGAUUUGGAGCUGUGCUUUACGCUCUUGUAUGCCCUAAACCUCCACCCACUGCGACUCCUUAGCAAGUUAAACUCUUUAAAGAAAUAACCUGUCCUUCAGUACUGCGUAAGAGAUCUUCUAUCAAAAGAAAAAUUGUUAGCGAAGCUCAGAAAACGUUUUGUAUCUCUCAUGCUAAUCAGUAUGUUGAAGCUGGAACUUACUUGCGUGUGCACGUUUAACCAAAACGUUCCCCAAGGUACACUGUUAGAAAACUGUUUGAAAAUUGGAAAGCUUUGGUGAUAAUAUUCACUGCACACAUGAUGGAUUGUAUCAGGUAUUAUGAAAUUGACUGGAAGUCGCGGAUUAUUGCUGUGACUGACUCUUCUUAUGUCGUUUUGGAUAAACUUGCCGGGACUACGGUACUUUUAUUCAUCCAUUGCACUAUCUCUUCUCAAUGUUCUUGACCACUGUAGUUUCACUAGAGAUCUUUAAAGAACUUUCUCUUGUGAAUAUUGUUAGUCUCAGUUUUAUACAUUUUGGGAUUGUACCAGAAUGUAUUUUUGUGUUCUAUUUCUUGGUAAUGAGGAUCGAAAAACAAUUCAUUCGAUCUUAAAACUUUAGAUACUAAAAAGCCAGGGUUCUCAGUGAUUCAGUGUGCUGACCCACAUGACCACAAUAAUUCAGUUUCUCAGGUUGGGGAAACCACAGAUAAUAUCGAAGAGAGCUGUGCGACAUUUUCCUUAUGUGCAUUAGAUUCCGCAGAACCACUGAAACAACACAUCAGAUUGAUAACUGCACAAAAGGCUGUACUUUCCCUUUUAAAACUUUUCUGCUUCAUACUUUUGCAGAUUUUUUUACUAAAAUUUGUAGAUUUAACUUCUUGAAAUGACCAGGUCGCAUUGCUUUUUUACUUUCUCUGUAGUAUAAUCUUUGCUAGGACAAAAGAGUAUUGAUCGGUCUUCCUCACAGAAAUACGAGUGAGUUUGCUUUGCUUCUAUUUCGUUUGACUGGAAAAUCAAGAAGACAUGGUGAAAUAUUUCAUUAUUUUCUAUAUGUUUUUACUUCUUUUCAAGAAUAAGGAGGUGAGGAAACUUCGUCGUGCUGUUGAGUCUUGAUACGGCCGUUGUAGUUCGAACUCUAACGGUCUAACCUAUGAUAAGUGGAAUAAAUCCUUGAUUUGUUUAUAGUUAUGAGUUUGGUUUUGCUGUGUACUUGGUCAUUUCAUAGCUCAGACCCAACAUAUAUACCCUCUCAUCCGACCACCAAAUAAUAUCCCAUCCAACCCAACACCUACAAUACAAUAUUAAGCUUCUUGAAUUAAGUCCUACUUAUUGAGUAACUAGCCUCUCUAUUUUGACUUGGGGUGCAUUGAACAACUCUGAUUAGUUAUUUCUUCAAAAUGAUUCUCAAUAUUUGUCUAUUGUGUAAUAUUUUAACUCGGUGUUUCUUAUAUUUUUAAAUUAAAAUAAAUUUAAAAAUAAAAUUUAUUAAUAUUGUAGAUUUUAUUAUUUUACCAAGUUUUAAUAGAAAUUUUAUUUAAUUAAGCAUUAUUAUUAAAAUUAAAAAUAAUUUUGCUUAUUUUAAAAUAUAUUUAAGAAUAUAUAUAGUUCUAUAUUAAAAAUAAUAAUCUUCGCUAAAAUUUUAUCUAUUUAUUUUGGUUAAAUAUAUUAAAUCAACCUUUUUUUUUGAAUUAAAUCAACCUUUAUAAAACUAAUAAAAUGAUAUACAAUUGUAUAAUUAUCAAAAAUAAAACUAAACAAUAUUUAUAAAGAAAACUUAGAUAUUAUAAAAGAAACUAAUGAUAUUACGAUUAAAUUUUGCUUAAAAUAAUAUAGAACGUUUUAAAAAAAUUAGUAAUAAAAAUUGUAUAAUUAUAAAAAUAGAAUAAAUCAUCUUUAGAAAUUUAGAAAAUCAUAUCUGAAUAUAUUUAUUUUAACAAUGAUGUAUGAAUUAUUACCAUAUUUUGAUAUACGAGUUAUUAUUAUAUUCUAAAAAUUUCAAUAUUUUAAUACAUUAGUAAUACGUUAAAUAUUUUAAUAUUAUAAUAUAUAUCACGAAUGUUGCAAAAAAAAUGUUUACGUAAUGGAAAUAAAUACCCGCGCUGUUGCGCGGGUCAAGAUCUAGUUAACUUGUUAAAACAAUAAGAUAAUUCUUAUAUAUUAUGUUGUUAUCUUAAAACAUAUGUUUCAAUUAUAAAUUUUAAAAAUAAAAUAUAAAACAAAGUUAGAGUGGUUAAUAUCUAUAUUACCCUUAAUGAAUUUUAUGUAUAUAUAUUAAUUAUAUAAUCAAAAACGAAUUUUGAUUAAUAAUAUUAACUUUUUAAAACAAUAAGAUAAUUCUUAUAUAUUGUGUUGUUAUCUUAAAACAUAUUCUUAUAUAUAUAUGUUUUAUUUUAAAAAAUAUAUAAAACAAUUAAUAAAUUUUAAUUAAACAUAUAUAUUUAAUUAACUUUGUUAUAUAUAUUUAUGUUUUAUUUAAUUUUUUGAAAACAUAAAUAAUAAGUUAUUAUGCUGAUUUUGAAUUAAAAAAAAUAAACUAAUAAAUAGUUGUAAAACGAUUAAGCCUGCAUAUGCGGGCAAGACACUUAGUUUUGUUAUUAUUAUUGUAGUUUAGAUAUAAAUAAGUAAUAUACUACAAAAUUAUGUUUUUGUAAACAAAAUUUUAUUUAUAAAUUUUACAAAAAAAUUAAAUAAUUAAUAAAUAUUUUUUCGAAUAAAGUCGCGGAAAUCGUUUUUUUAAAAGAAAUCUUAAGACCCACCACUCCGUGAAAGGAUGCAACUAACAAAGAGGGAGGGUCAGCUGACCCCACAAAAUAAUUAUUAAACAUUAAAGAUAAAUUUAAUUAUACAACUAAAAUAUUUAUACAUUUUUAUCUUUAAAACUUAAGAUAUGUUAGUUUUAAUCUCAUUUUUUUAUAGUUAAAAAAAAUUAUAACGCUGAUAUAAGAAAAAAAAAAUUCUGAUCUGGUAUAAAAUAUUUCGGGCUCCGGCGGACUGCAUGAAACAUGUAUUGCAAUGUAAAGAGAAUGGUAAUGUCCCAACCAUCAUCCACCAAGAAGAGUUGAACAAUAUAUAGUAUCCCAGCGGUUAGAGUAUUUAGCAUUUAUUAAAAGUUAUAGAUGAUCAAUGGUACAGAAAUUUACUACCUUUGCUAUCAAAGUACUGUUUAUAAGUAAAGGCAACAUCAGUAAUUAAUAUUUGCAGGAAUUUACAGAUGCAUGGUGAUCAAAAAGAGUUUCGAAGUAUCUGAUCAUACCAGAUUAAUUUGAGUCAUUGGUUGAUCCCAGUGGAUAAUCUUUUAUUAUUGGCCUCGAAGGCUUUAAUUAACAUUUAGUCUAUUCUGUUCAUUGGACUACUUGUGAAUAGAUUAAUUGUUCUGUUCUUUUUGGCGCAUCCUUAAUUAUCACUUUUUAUGAAGUAGCAAGAGUAACAAAAAUUAAAAAACACCUCUUUUAUUACGGUCUACGAGUAGUUCUUAUUACAUUAGCCGCGAUUUUAAAGUACAUUAUUUAUGGAACACAUACCAUGGCUGCGUAGUGUUAACAUACAUCAACAACCACACCCAUCAUCGUGGUAUAUACACUCAGAGGGUUUCGUUUUGAAUCUAGUAGGAGGGGCCAGGCAUGGUCUUCUGGAAGGGACAAACGCUAACUUGCGGGAUGUUGCAAACUUUAGGUAAGUGAGUAGCGGUCUGGUAGAUUCGGCUAAUUACAUGCUGCAUCUGCUGUCCCUGCAUUUGUCCCUGUUGUCGAACCUGCUGUUUAACGGCUUUGGAUGCUCCUUUCAAGGUUGGGCAAACGCAAAGUGGCUCUUCCUGGUGGAGCUCGUUGCAGCACUGCUGGAGUAGUGGCGGCCUCUGUUGUGGGCCCUGGGGGUUCUCCAUGUCAUCUUCAAAAUCAAACUCACCAUCGAGGGUCCAGCUAGGACCACUACCGGACUGCAUUGCCUGCUUGUGGAGCCAUUGUUGGCAAGCUUUCAG